rnacentral:piRNA from 1 species
AAGAAAUGUUCAACAUCCU